GGGUUGUGAGGUUAAGCGACUAAGCGUACACGGUGGAUGCCUAGGCAGUCAGAGGCGAUGAAGGGCGUGCUAAUCUGCGAAAAGCGUCGGUAAGCUGAUAUGAAGCGUAAUAACCGACGAUACCCGAAUGGGGAAACCCAGUGCAAUUCGUUGCACUAUUGCAUGGUGAAUACAUAGCCAUGCAAGGCGAACCGGGGGAACUGAAACAUCUAAGUACCCCGAGGAAAAGAAAUCAACCGAGAUUCCCCCAGUAGCGGCGAGCGAACGGGGAAGAGCCCAGAGUCUGAAUCAGUUGGUGUGUUAGUGGAAGCGUCUGGAAAGUCGCACGGUACAGGGUGAUAGUCCCGUACACAAAAACACACUGGCUGUGAACUCGAUGAGUAGGGCGGGACACGUGACAUCCUGUCUGAAUAUGGGGGGACCAUCCUCCAAGGCUAAAUACUCCUGACUGACCGAUAGUGAACCAGUACCGUGAGGGAAAGGCGAAAAGAACCCCGGCGAGGGGAGUGAAAUAGAACCUGAAACCGUGUACGUACAAGCAGUGGGAGCACCUUCGUGGUGUGACUGCGUACCUUUUGUAUAAUGGGUCAGCGACUUAUAUUUUGUAGCAAGGUUAACCGAAUAGGGGAGCCGUAGGGAAACCGAGUCUUAACUGGGCGUCUAGUUGCAAGGUAUAGACCCGAAACCCGGUGAUCUAGCCAUGGGCAGGUUGAAGGUUGGGUAACACUAACUGGAGGACCGAACCGACUAAUGUUGAAAAAUUAGCGGAUGACUUGUGGCUGGGGGUGAAAGGCCAAUCAAACCGGGAGAUAGCUGGUUCUCCCCGAAAGCUAUUUAGGUAGCGCCUCGUGAACUCAUCUUCGGGGGUAGAGCACUGUUUCGGCUAGGGGUCCAUCCCGGAUUACCAAACCGAUGCAAACUCCGAAUACCGAAGAAUGUUAUCACGGGAGACACACGGCGGGUGCUAACGUCCGUCGUGAAGAGGGAAACAACCCAGACCGCCAGCUAAGGUCCCAAAGUCAUGGUUAAGUGGGAAACGAUGUGGGAAGGCAUAGACAGCCAGGAUGUUGGCUUAGAAGCAGCCAUCAUUUAAAGAAAGCGUAAUAGCUCACUGGUCGAGUCGGCCUGCGCGGAAGAUGUAACGGGGCUAAACCAUGCACCGAAGCUGCGGCAGCGACGCUUAGGCGUUGUUGGGUAGGGGAGCGUUCUGUAAGCCGUUGAAGGUGGCCUGUGAGGGCUGCUGGAGGUAUCAGAAGUGCGAAUGCUG
rnacentral:rRNA from 1 species